rnacentral:lncRNA from 10 species
CAGGUUCUCAGUCACCAAAUACUGGAACAGAAAUUUUGCUUCCCAUUUUGCAGAUAAGAAGAAAAGCCAAAUUGGAGAAAAAUAAAAUUGAGGGUGUAUCCAUGCCAAUAUACCAACACUGCAGAAGCUUGACUGACUGCAGGAAGUAUCCAUUGCGAUCUGCUUUCCACCGGGUAACAAGAGCUUCUUCCUUUCCAGGAAGCUUCAGCUGUCCCACUCUGCCAGAGGCUGGGUAAGCACAGUACACUGAAUGUGCUGGGCUGAAUUCUAGGCCGAAAUAUUGUUGCCAAAACCUCUAGGUGACAGAUGUGAUAUCGCAUUUCCCAAUCCAGUUUCCAUCACUAAUAGAGCUGCCAUGUUGCUGCCGAUGUUUCUCCCCUCGGCCUUUCCAUGGACUCAGGACUUCACAGAGAGGAAAAAGCAGUAUCUCAAACCUCCUUCAUGAUGGCGUUCAGUAUGAUCAACGCCAGUUUCUUUCCCUGUCUCUUCUGUCUAGCUGGUAAAUUCCUGUACGACAGAGACCAUGUUCCUUUUCAUUUUUGUAUCUCUCAUGUCUAGCACAU